rnacentral:rRNA from 1 species
UGGGGAAUAUUGGACAAUGGGCGCAAGCCUGAUCCAGCCAUGCCGCGUGUGGGAAGAAGGCCUUCGGGUUGUAAACCACUUUUGUCAGGGAAGAAACGGCCUGAUCUAAUACAUUGGGUUAAUGACGGUACCUGAAGAAUAAGCACCGGCUAACUACGUGCCAGCAGCCGCGGUAAUACGUAGGGUGCGAGCGUUAAUCGGAAUUACUGGGCGUAAAGCGUGCGCAGGCGGCUUUGCAAGACAGAUGUGAAAUCCCCGGGCUCAACCUGGGAACUGCAUUUGUGACUGCAAGGCUAGAGUACGGUAGAGGGGGAUGGAAUUCCGCGUGUAGCAGUGAAAUGCGUAGAUAUGCGGAGGAACACCGAUGGCGAAGGCAAUCCCCUGGACCUGUACUGACGCUCAUGCACGAAAGCGUGGGGAGCAAACAGGAUUAGAUACCCGUGUAGUCCCUGAGCGGGCUGGCAAGGCGCAU